rnacentral:rRNA from 1 species
UACGUAGGGGGCAAGCGUUGUCCGGAUUUAUUGGGCGUAAAGAGCGUGUAGGCGGCCAGACAGGUCCGUUGUGAAAACUCGAGGCUCAACCUCGAGACGCCGAUGGAAACCGUAUGGCUAGAGUCCGGAAGAGGAGAGCGGAAUUCCUGGUGUAGCGGUGAAAUGCGCAGAUAUCAGGAAGAACACCCGUGGCGAAGGCGGCUCUCUGGGACGGUACUGACGCUGAGACGCGAAAGCGUGGGGAGCGAACAGG